rnacentral:rRNA from 1 species
GGAUCCAGACUUUGAUUAUGGCUCAGGAUGAACGCUAGCUACAGGCCUAACACAUGCAAGUCGAGGGGAAACGGCAGCUUAGCUUGCUAAGCUGGACGUCGACCGGCGCACGGGUGAGUAACGCGUAUCCAACCUGCCCCACGGUGAGGGAUAACCCGCGGAAACGCGGCCUAAUACCCCAUGGUCUCCGAGUUUGCCAUCAACCUUGGAGUAAAGAUUCAUUGCCGUGGGAUGGGGAUGCGUCUGAUUAGCUUGUUGGCGGGGCAACGGCCCACCAAGGCAACGAUCAGUAGGGGUUCUGAGAGGAAAGCCCCCCACAUUGGAACUGAGACACGGUCCAAACUCCUACGGGAGGCAGCAGUGAGGAAUAUUGGUCAAUGGGCGAGAGCCUGGACCAGCCAAGUAGCGUGCAGGAAGACGGCCCUAUGGGUUGUAAACUGCUUUUAUGCGGGGAUAAAGCGGGCGACGUGUCGCCCUUUGCAGGUACCGCAUGAAUAAGGACCGGCUAAUUCCGUGCCAGCAGCCGCGGUAAUACGGAAGGUCCGGGCGUUAUCCGGAUUUAUUGGGUUUAAAGGGAGCGCAGGCCGGGUAUUAAGCGUGUUGUGAAAUGUAGGCGCCCAACGUCUGCACCGCAGCGCGAACUGGUGCCCUUGAGUACGCACGACGUUGGCGGAAUUCGCCGUGUAGCGGUGAAAUGCUUAGAUAUGGCGAAGAACUCCGAUUGCGAAGGCAGCUGACGGGAGCGCUACUGACGCUCAUGCUCGAAAGCGCGGGUAUCGAACAGGAUUAGAUACCCUGGUAGUCCGCGCGGUAAACGAUGGAUGCCCGCUAUUUGCGCAUUAGCGCAAGUGGCCAAGUGAAAACGUUAGGCAUCCCACCUGGGGAGUACGCCGGCAACGGUGCAACUCAAAGGAAUUGACGG